AGGGAAUCUUCCGCAAUGGACGGAAGUCUGACGCAGCGACGCCGCGUGAGCGAUGAAGGUCUUCGGAUCGUAAAGCUCUGUCCUUGGGGAAGAAGGUCUUCGGACUUGACGGUACCCAAGAAGAAAGCCCCGGCUAACUACGUGCCAGCAGCCGCGGUAAUACGUAGGGGGCGAGCGUUGUCCGGAAUUACUGGGCGUAAAGGGUGCGUAGGCGGCCCUUUAAGUCGGAUGUGAAAGCCCGCGGCUUAACCGCGGAAUGGCAUUCGAAACUGGAGGGCUUGAGUGUCGGAGAGGGUAGUGGAAUUCCCAGUGUAGCGGUGAAAUGCGUAGAUAUUGGGAGGAACACCAGUGGCGAAGGCGACUACCUGGACGAUAACUGACGCUGAGGCACGAAAGCUAGGGGAGCAAAC
rnacentral:rRNA from 1 species